rnacentral:tRNA from 2 species
GGGGCUAUAGCUCAGCUGGGAGAGCGCCUGCUUUGCACGCAGGAGGUCUGCGGUUCGAUCCCGCACAGCUCCACCA